UGGUGCUAGGUUUCCUGGGGAAGCUUUACUGCCAUUUACAGUCUCUGCUUCAUAUUCACUCUUUCUUUUUUCCCCCUUAUGGGGCAUUCAAGGAGGAGACACUGCUCUUCCCGUGGCCUAGCUCUGCAUCCUCAAACAUGUCAUGGCUAAAUCCAUGUGGUAUGAGUGCCAGCCAUGGCCCCCAGUUAACAGCAGCAAACUCAUUCUCAUCUCAUCAAGUGAUCCUUAAACAAGAACUAUGAAGCUGCAUAGGUGGGCUUAACCUGCUCCAGAAAGGGACAGUCACUUCAACCAAGGACAGACUUUGCUCAUUUGCUUCCAGAUGCUCCAUCCUGCUGCACAAGGGUGAGAGGUGACAGUGGACCAGAGAAGAAGGGAAGAUGGAGGCAGAAUAAAUCCUGAUGGAGUGGAGCAAAAAGGAGCACCAAGUGGGAAUCUCCCAUACAGUGUGUUCCUCUCUGCAGGACAGAGGCUUGUGUCACCCCAUUUCCUAGCAGAACACUGGAGACUGUAAUUGUCCAGGAAAGAACUCUGAAGCUGUGGUCCCCAGGCUGGGGAAAGCAGUCAAGACUUCUAGCCAAGCAUGAGACCUAUAGCUCCAACAGG